CGAACUAUUACAUAGAUUUAUGUUCAUUAAUCUCGGAGGGCUUUCACUCCAACAUAUCUUCACUUAUGAGUCGAUUUUUAAAAUAAUAAAAUAAGAGGUUCUCAAAUUUAAUUAUUUUAAUAUAUUAUUUAAUUUUAAUCAAAUUAUCCACGCGAUACCAUAUCCAUUUGCAUUUGUUCUUAGCCACGACAUAUCCCAAUUCACAAGUCUUAUUCUA
rnacentral:lncRNA from 1 species